rnacentral:rRNA from 1 species
CGGAGCAUGCGGCUUAAUUCGACGCAACGCGAAGAACCUUACCAAGGCUUGACAUAUACAGGAAUACGGCAGAGAAUGUCGUAGCCGCAAGGUCUGUAUACAGGUGGUGCAUGGUUGUCGUCAGCUCGUGUCGUGAGAUGUUGGGUUAAGUCCCGCAACGAGCGCAACCCUCGUUCUGUGUUGCCAGCAUUUAGUUGGGGACUCACAGGAGACUGCCGGGGUUAACUCGGAGGAAGGUGGGGAUGACGUCAAAUCAUCAUGCCCCUUAUGUCUUGGGCUGCACGCAUGCUACAAUGGCUGGUACAAACGGCUGCGAUACCGCAAGGUGGAGCGAAUCCGAUAAAGCCAGUCUCAGUUCGGAUUGGGGUCUGCAACUCGACCCCAUGAAGUCGGAGUUGCUAGUAAUCGUAGAUCAGCAACGCUACGGUGAAUACGUUCCCGGGGCUUGUACACACCGCCCGUCACAUCACGAAAGUCGGUAACACCCAAAGUCAGUGGCCCAACCGUAAGGAGGGAG